GGCUGGUCGGAAGGUAGUGAGUUACCUCACUUGAUUGUUCACAGUCAGUUACAGAUUGAACUCAUUGUUCUACUCUCUCCUCUCCCCUGUUCACUACUGCACUUGACUAGUCUUAA
ensembl:misc_RNA Y_RNA Y RNA